rnacentral:lncRNA from 13 species
AUGCUGCGGACCUCCCUGUCUGCACUUUCAGCGAGUGUUCCAACCGCAUCUACAGCAUCCCGACAGGCGAACACUGGCACUGCAGGCUCAACCAACAAUGAUUUUCGGAUCCUCGGCAAAAGCACUCUCCGUACAUCUGCAGGAAACCGAGAGGAAAGGGGUAGAGAGAAUCCUUCGUACCCAAACAGCGCGAGAGAGAGAGAGAGUCCGAGUGAGUGCAGAGCGAGAGAGAGACGGGAGGAUAGGCAAGUGGGUUUGUGGAGUAAAAAAAGAACGCCUGGACCUGCCAAGAUCAAGAGGAUUGUGUGUUAUUCUCGGAAUAAUUGCAACUGCGCUUAUUUGCAAAGUGUUUUUUUCGCCAAUCAAAAUGUCAUCGUCUGGGAAAGACAACAGUGGUGCUCAACAUGCCAAUUACGUGGGACCGUAUCGCUUGGAAAAGACGCUCGGCAAAGGACAGACAGACGAAGAGGAGGAAAACCCUUACAGAACAUGAGAACAUAUGAAAGCUGGUGGUUCCUUUUAACACGAGUCUUCAAUAUUCCCAGGUAAGAAGUUUUAGGUUGUAGGUAUUAUAGGAAUUAUAGGACUAUUUCUCUCUAUACCAUUUGUAUUUCAUAUACCUUUGAAUAUUGGAUGCUCUUAUAGGCACUCUAGUAUUGCCAGCCUAAUCUCGGGAGUUGAUAGGCUUGAAGUCAUAAACAGCGCUGUGCUUCAAACAUUGCGAAGAGCUGCUGGCAAAGGCAGGAAAGUGCUGUUUGAAUGAAUGCUUACUAGCCUGCUGCUGCCUAACACUGCUCAGGCAGACGGCUCUAUCAAAUACCAAAUCAUAGACUUAAUCAUAAUAUAAUAAAUUCACAGAAAUACAAGCCUUAGGUCAUUAAUAUGGUCAAAUACGGAAACUAUCAUUUCGAAAACAAUACGUUUUAUUCUUUCAGUGAAAUACAGAACCGUUCCGUAUUUUAUCGAAUGGGUGGCAUCCAUAAGUCUAAAUAUUGCUGUUACAUUGCGCAACCUUCAAUGUUAUGUCAUAAUUAUGUAAAAUUCUGUCAAAAUAAUUACUGUCUUUGUUAGGAAGAAAUGGUCUUCACACAGUUCGCAAUGAGCCAGGCGGCCCAAACUGCUGCAUGUACCCUGACUCUGCUUGCACA